CCUUAUUGGCGAGCGGGCCCUGGCGUGCCAUCCCUGAGCUGGCCUUCCGCACAGACUUCCACGCCGGCGCGCAGCAGUUCAGCAGCAGCCUCGCCUGCUGCAUGGCCGCCGGACCUUAAAGGGCUCUGCGCCGCUCAGGAUAGAACUUCAAGAUGGACCUCCUUCUCCAAGAAAGUCUGGGUCUACGUGUGUGAUAGCUCACAAGAGGGCAAAUGCUUUGAGAUUGCCCAUGGAAGUGAAGCCUGUGGUCCUCGCAGAGUCACCAGAGACAGAGACAGAGUGCCAGUGCAGGAGGAGAAGAGAGAGAGGGAGACAGAGAAUCCGAAACAGGCUCCAGGCUGUCGGCGCAGAGUCCGACACGGGACUCGAACCCACCAACCAUGAGAUCAUGACCUGAGCAGAAGUCAGUUGCCCAAUGGACUGAGCCCCCACAUGUGGCUAUUUUGAAGAAAGAGAGAGCAUGUGCACACGAGCAGGGGAGGAGCAGAGAGAGAGGGAGAGAGAGGAUC